GCAAGUCGAACGAGAAAGCCCCUUCGGGGGUGAGUAAAGUGGCGAACGGGUGAGUAACGCGUAAGAAUUUGCCCUUCAGUGAAGGAUACCUCCGAGAAAUCGGGGCUAAUACUGCAUAUUUCCCUCCGGGGAUAAAGGUGGCCUCUUGCUACCGCUGAAGGAUAAGCUUGCGUACUAUUAGCUUGUUGGUGAGGUAAAGGCUCACCAAGGCUUUGAUGGUUAGCCGACCUGAGAGGGUGAUC
rnacentral:rRNA from 1 species